rnacentral:rRNA from 1 species
UACGUAGGGCGCAAGCGUUGUCCGGAAUUAUUGGGCGUAAAGAGCUCGUAGGCGGUUUGUCGCGUCUGCUGUGAAAACCCGAGGCUCAACCUCGGGCCUGCAGUGGGUACGGGCAGACUAGAGUGUGGUAGGGGAGACUGGAAUUCCUGGUGUAGCGGUGGAAUGCGCAGAUAUCAGGAGGAACACCAAUGGCGAAGGCAGGUCUCUGGGCCACAACUGACGCU